GUAAUCCCAGUGCUUGGGAGGCUGAGGUAGGAGGAAUGCUGUGAGUUUGAAGUCAGCAUGGGCUACGAAGUGAGUUGAAGACCAGCCUGAACUGCAUAGCAAGACCCUGUCUCAAAAAGACCAAAAAAAAAAAAAAAUUUUUUUCUAUGACACAGAGGAUGAAGAAUCCCAUAGUACAAGAUGAAUUUGAGGCUUAAACUUUGGCUUUGGAACACUUGUCUAUCCAGUCUCAGCAGACUAACAGACACUGCCCUCUGCAAAAAUAAUGUUGAGAGGUCAAAACCCCUAUCUGCAGGGUGUGGAAAAGUAUCAUCUAAAAUACUGUUUUCCCACUUCUUUCUUUGCAUAGAUAAUAUAUUGCGUCC
rnacentral:lncRNA from 1 species